UCUUUCUUCUUAGGGUAAAUAUCUCCAAGUCUGAACUGGGGAGAUACUCAGUUGGUAAAAUGCUUGGUUGCAAACAUGGGGACUUGAGUUCAAUUCCCCAGCACUCACAUUAAAGAACGAGGAGGAGGAGGAGGAAGUGGAAGAGGAAGAAGAGGAGGAGGAGGAAGAGGAAGAGGAGGAAGUGGAGAAGCGGCAGCAGCAGCCACCAGUCAUGAUGCAGAAUCCCGGGAGCUUCCAGAACACGCCCUUUCUCCUCCAUCCUGAACUAAUGGAAAUCAGGCCUGAAG
rnacentral:lncRNA from 1 species